rnacentral:tRNA from 2 species
UCUAUUUUGGCAGAUAAGUGCAAUGAAUUUAGAAUUCAUUUAUGUAAAUAAAUUUUACAGGUAGAA